GCAUAUCAAUAAGCGGAGGAAAAAGAAACCAACAGGGAUUGCCCCUAGUAACGGCGAGUGAAGCGGCAACAGCUCAAAUUUGAAAUCUGGCGCAAGCCCGAGUUGUAAUUUGUAGAGGAUGCUUCUGGGCAGCGGCCGGUCUAAGUUCCUUGGAACAGGACGUCAUAGAGGGUGAGAAUCCCGUAUGUGACUGGCUUGCACCCUCCACGUAGCUCCUUCGACGAGUCGAGUUGUUUGGGAAUGCAGCUCUAAAUGGGAGGUAAAUUUCUUCUAAAGCUAAAUACCGGCCAGAGACCGAUAGCGCACAAGUAGAGUGAUCGAAAGAUGAAAAGCACUUUGGAAAGAGAGUUAAAAAGCACGUGAAAUUGUUGAAAGGGAAGCGCCCGCAACCAGACUUCGUGGCGGCGUUCGGCCGGUCUUCUGACCGGUUUACUCGCCGUCGCGAGGCCAUCAUCGUCUGGGACCGCCGGAUAAGACCUUAGGAAUGUGGCUCCCCUCGGGGAGUGUUAUAGCCUCUGGUGAUGCGGCGCGUCUCGGGCGAGGUCCGCGCCUCGGCAAGGAUGAUGGCGUAAUGGUUGUCGGCGGCCCGUCUUGAAACACGGACCAAGGAGUCUAACAUCUAUGCGAGUGUUCGGGUGUCAAACCCCUACGCGUAAUGAAAGUGAACGGAGGUGGGAACUUUUUGUGCACCAUCGACCGAUCCUGAUGUCCUCGGAUGGAUUUGAGUAAGAGCAUAGCUGUUGGGACCCGAAAGAUGGUGAACUAUGCCUGAAUAGGGUGAAGCCAGAGGAAACUCUGGUGGAGGCUCGCAGCGGUUCUGACGUGCAAAUCGAUCGUCAAAUUUGGGUAUAGGGGGCGAAAGACUAAUCGAACCAUCUAGUAGCUGGUUCCUGCCGAAG
rnacentral:rRNA from 1 species